rnacentral:rRNA from 1 species
UACGUAGGCAGCAAGCGUUGUUCGGAGUUACUGGGCGUAAAGGGUGCGUAGGCGGCUCUAUAAGUAUGGUGUGAAAUCUCCCGGCUUAACUGGGAGGGUGCGCUAUAGACUGUGGGGCUAGAGUGUGGGAGAGGAAAGUGGAAUUCCUGGUGUAGCGGUGAAAUGCGUAGAUAUCAGGAGGAACACCGGUGGUGUAAACGGCUUUCUGGACCAUAACUGACGCUGAGGCACGAAAAGCGUGGGUAGCAAACAGG